CACACUCAUCUCAUCUUUCCGCCAUGUUUGGUGUUAAAGUUUCGAAGUUCCCUACGAGUAUUCGAGAUACUGAUCCUGUAUGGGGUAAAAGGCAGACACUUGUCUCCCGCCCCUCCCUGUGGACUGUUCCUGUGCUGUGAAGAAGCCCUCCUUGUGAUGCAUCCUGCUCAUCAACCCUUGGCGCUGCUCCCUGAGCCGCUGGAGCCUCACUCAGGACGGCACGCUGACCACUGCCCUCUGCUUUCCUCCAGCUCUUGCAGGUCUUGCAUUGGGCCUCCGACCCCUGUACAGUGGGUUUUUCUCCAGGGCGAAGGAGAGGGGCCCAGCUUCACCUCCUCUGUAACCGACUGGGUGACGUGGACGAGGAGAGGAAACAGGAAUGUCAAGUCAACAUUCUGCUCAGGCCUUCCCAGGAGGAACUUUGUCAAGAAAGUGAUUGACAGUAGUCCAGCCAGAAAUUGAGAAAUAACCAAUUAAUAAUGGAUUGUUUUCAGAUUUGCACCAACGCCUUUGAACCUUCUAAAGCUCUGUUCUGAACCGACCUGAACAGGGCACAGCACACGUCCUCAGCACACACCUGCUGACCUCCUGGGCCUUCCCGUGCAGCCUCACCCCGGCUUAGUGUCUCCUGGAAGCCCGUCACCCACCAGUCCUGUGGGCAGAGCACGGACAGCCCCCAGGACCUGGAACGAGCACAAGGCAGCAGGCCCUGCCUUCACUAUGCUGCGCCUCUCGAGGGGUUCACCCCAAAGACUGGACACACGUGAGGGUGACACCACAGUCCCCAGGAGAGCUGUGACCCAUGUGCAAGUUUCACCUCUAAGCCCGUGGCCCAGGGUUCAGUGCACGGCGAUUGUGUCCACCGUGGAGGUGGUGUCCAGAGCACGGCUGCAUUCCUCCCACAUCCCUCCCUGUGGGGCUCCGGCCUGGGUUGCCCCGGUCUGUGGCCAUAAGUCCUCUCCUUCGGACAACCCCAGGAUGUCCUCGAGGACUCAGAGCUUGUGUGAUGUGGUGUCCCCGAGGUAAGACGCGUCUCAGAGCGCCGUGUGCUGCUGUGUCUGCUCCAGCACCACCGCCCCUCUCCAGAGCAUCCUCCUUGCUCCACACGGAAGCUUCUGUCGAGCACUGAUUCCUCUGGCCCGGCGCCCGCCACCCACUUGCUGUCCUUGCUGGAGCGUCUCGUUUUCCUGGUCGUGAUGUCCUCAAAGCUCAUCCAUGCUGUCACGGUGCCAGCACUUCCUUCCUUCAAGGCAGAAUUAUGUCCACGGCAUUGUGUCCUUUGUCUGUCAAUGGACCUGCGUGGCUUCUACAUCUUGGCCCCUGUGAACAGUGCUGCCGUGCAACACGGCUGUCCCCGCAGGCUGCAUCUUCAAAGGUGUGGCCAGAAGUGGGCGGCUGGGUCACCCAGUGACUCGAAUGAGUUGUCUGAAGAACUGCCAUUUUUCCACGGUGCUGAGGAAUUCUUCAUGUGCUGUGGGCCUUUUGCCGGCCCCGGCCUGUGUACAUCCUCAGGUGGCUUCCAGAGUCACUCAGAAAAGCACAGGGCCAGUGCUUCUAGGAGCUUUUUCACCUGGACGUUGAAAUGCAGCAGGAUUUCUUGCAGAGAAAAGGCUCCCCGGCCCCAAAAUGAUCUUCUCUCUGUUCCAGAGAGAUGGGCCCAGCAGGAGCAUCUGCAGGGCGGGCAGCUGGGGUGCGGGCAGCAGCCACUGUGUGACUCAAACCGAGGUCCAACAGAGCCGGAGGGAUGCAGGGCUCGGGAAAACACCAAAGAAGGUAGCGAACGUGCAGGGGGAGUCCCAGGAGAGGGAGCGGGCGCAGGGCAUGAGAAAUAUCCCAAGGGUUAACGUCAAGAAUGUGUGGAAUUAAGGAGGGUGCCAGUCACAGCCCAGAGAACCCAAGAGGAGGAGUGCCAUUAAGGACAAGGACAGCAAACAGUGUGGCCAGCAGAGCAGCCUGGACCACUGAGGGAAAGGACAGAACCGUGUGCUGCUCACAGGGACCACAGGAGAACCCCAAACUUCACCUCAGAAGCUGCAGGAACAUCAAGAAAACGGAUGACAAGCACAGAUUUGGAAAUUGAGCAGGGCCAAGCGUGAGCCUCAUCGGGCUGUGGACAGCGUGUGGCCUGAUUGCGGUGGUCACACCCAUCUUUGCAUGUGGCGGAACUCACAGGCCUGCACACAUGCACACGCACACACAUGGCACGGUCCCUGGUUAGCGGUGCCACUUCAGCUUCCCCCCCUUGUGGUGAAAAGGCCUCGCUGUCGCCAAGGCGCGUGGAAUCUGUUUUGGAAACAAACCACAAGCGUAUAUUUAUUUCACAAUGCGAAUAAACAGGUUUGAAAGCACCAUAUCCUUAUCUGACAGGAACACACAACUCUGGGGUACAGCACGUGCAUUGU